UCUACAUUGUUGUAUUCCUGCAGUUUCGAACUCGCUCUAUUAAGGGAUACGACGUAUUUAAGGAGAGUAAAACUAUAUAAUUAUAUACAGUACUUGACAGCAAUGGUCUAGUAAAAACAGAAAACCAGCAGCGGUAAGAACUGACUUGAAUUUACUACUUUGGGCUUAACACGAUGGAGAGAUCAAACUAAUAAUAUAGGGAAAUAUCCUUGGUGUACAGCUGUAUAUGUACAAUAUGAACAAAGAGGCUGUACCAGAAUUUUGGCAAAAACCGACCAGUGCAACUCCAAUGGAAUUUUGCUAUAGUUUUAGAAUACUCCCAAUAAAAUAUCACGUCUCCAUGCGUUGCCUUUUAAAAUCGCUUAUAUAGUUACUUUUCCAAACUUUAAAAUCAUUUCAACACUAUAAACAGUACAGGUCUGAGUCUGAUAUUUACUGAAAGAAAACAAUUUGAGCUUUCUUGGUCGAUUUAUUAGCGGAGAUGGGUUUUAUCCCAGUAAUCCCCGGUAUAGCUUCUUUAAGAACGGGGAUUUCCAUAGGAUAAUGUAUAGACAUACCUUUUACUCGCUGCUUAGGGCUCCUUACGUAAUUUGGCAAGUUAUUCCAACCUCCCCCCCCCUCCCACUACCCACAUACAAUUACUGUUACAACCAGUGGACGUGUCGGCCGUCCAACUCCACCCAGAAAGUAACCAUCCUGCUGAAGGCAUUUUCCUGUGCUCACAUAUCCCCUCAACCCUCACAUGAAAUCCACAGCGGGAUUUAUCCGUAUUUGUGCUAUCCUGAUGUUUGCUCAGCGCGUUCAGGCCGUCUGUGUCAUUUGGAAGGUCAAACAACAAACUUUGUUAGACAGAGGCUCUCAAAGGUACCCCGUUCGCAAAAAGAUGCUUUCAGGAGCACUGUUUUUUUUUAGGUUUCUUUAAAUCACGUAGUAUACGGUAGACAUAUAUAGCCAUCCUUGAUACUGUGAUUGUGUCCGUUAGCGACCAGAUCAAUGAGCACAUUUACUUUAAAAUUUAACAUGACACAAGUAGCAAGGAGUGUAUAUGUGAAAGUGAAAUGUAACGUAACUCCAUGAGAGUGAAAGUGAAGUAUAAAGUAACUGUCUGAGAGUGAAAGUGAAAUAUAAAGUAACUCCAUGGGAGUGAAAGUGAAAUAUUUAUUUAUUUAUUUGAUUGGUGUUUUACACCGUACUCAAGAAUAUUUCACUUAUACGACGGCGGCCAGCAUUAUGGUGGGAGGAAAUCGGGCGGAGCCGGGAAAACCCAUGACUAUCCGCAGGUUGCUGGCAGACCUUCCCACGUACGGCCGGAAAGUGAAAUAUAAAAUAACUCCAUGAGAGUGAAAGUGAAAUAUAACGUAACUACAUGGGAAUGAAAGUGAAAUAUAAAGUAACUCCAUGAGAGUGAAAGUGAAGCAUAAAGUAACUCCAUGGGAGUGAAAGUGAAAUAUAAAUAACUCCAUGAGAAUUAAAGUGAAAUAUAGAGUAACUUCAUGAGAGUGUUUAUUUAUUUAUUUCUUUGGUGUUUUACGCCGUACUCAAGAAUAUUUCACUUAUACGACGGCGGCCAGCAUUAUGGUGGCAGAGCCUAAAGGAUACCCACGACCAUCCGCAGGGUGUUGACAUGAGAGUGUAAUCUUUUCCUCUGUGAUGCAACAUAUCUCCUCUAAACAAACGUUUUAUUGUGAUGAAAGCGCUGUGAUGAUUUUACGAGCAUAUGUGCUAUAAGUGGCCACAUGUUAUAACAGUUGAUCGUAUGCGGAUUUAAGGUUGUUAGAUAUCUGGCAAUGGUCACCCCGGUUUCCUUUACCUAAAAACACUCUUGAGUGCAGCUUUAAACAUAAAUGAAACAAAUAAAUAUACCGGUUUACAAAUAUGUGCCAUUGUCAGACGCGUUGGUGCACACAUGACCAGAAUGUAAUGAGAUGGAGUAUACAAUUGUCAUGCUCAGUGCUCUGAUGGCCUUCCUGUCCUAUCGUGUAUAUGAGUUACGCGACGUACUGGUUUACAAAAAUCUGAUUCAGUCUCCAUAACAACUCCUGAACUCAUCAUCACGUUUGACAAAAAAUCUUCACAAAACAAAGACAAAGAUUACAAUAUUGUUUUCUUUAAAAUUCCAAGCACAAAAUGAUAUUGCAUACAAACAGUUAAACUUUGAACUUAAAAAGGAAAAUUCAUUUACUAUAAACUGGACGCUUUGAGUAGAAUGAUUUACCAUCAGAAAAUAAGAACGGCCUCAUAUAGUCAAGUACAUGCCACUAAAGUGAGAGGGUCCAUAUGACUGGUAGCCCUGAGGAAACUGUCCCAACUUGUCAGUUACAAGUAUCUGACAAAACCCCUGGCGUGAAGCCGCAGCUGAGCUAGCGAGAGAGCUGGACUGGAUAACGAGACCUGAUUUGUGAUCUGUCAGUAGUGAGGAACUCCUUGGGCCAUUAUGGUAGCGAGGGCCAAAUUUCCCUUUGUUCGUCUCUUUACCUCCAUACACAAUCCUUGAUAUUGCAAGUUAUCUAAAAUUCGGAGACAAUUUACAUAAAAAGAUAUCUGACUGACUAAUAUACUGAUUGGCCGAUUGAUCUGUUUGUUAAAGGAGUGGUUUGUCGUAAGGACAAUUUGACAAAAUUGAAACAUGAAAUCUUAAUCCAGCUAAUCUGGAAGGUACAACUCAUAUGGAACAGCUUAGCCUAUUUUCCUUCGACGUGUUUCAGCUGAAGUUAUCUUUGAGGCCUACAUUUGUCAGCAAAAACAAAAAACGCUUGGCCCCUCGAGAGCCCCGUGCUUUGAGGAGAAUUCCGCUAACCCCAGCGUUCCUAAUCACAGGAUAAUUGAGGGAGUUAUUAACUGAAGACAUUUACGAAGACUCUGGGAGUAGCUACUUGGUUGGAUUAUCUGUUCCUCUUUGAGGAUGGUUUCCGUCAAAUCGUGGGAUGUUAUUGUGGCAAUAUUGCUAUUGAUAACAACAUUAUCAGAAUGUCGAGAGAUGUGCUACACAUGUAGUUACACGAUCAACUCCCUAAAACAAGGCAUCGAGUGUGUUCACGCGCCUAAAAACGUGACGAUCGGACAGUGGGCAAGUCAGUGUCCGUAUAAAUGCCUCAUUACCAGCGAGAUUACCAUCGAAACUAUGGAGAUUCGUUCGUUUAACCGGAUGUGUGGUUUUGAUAACGGAGAGGAUCGAUGUGAAGAACACGGCCCCUACGAGAUUUGCUACCACACAUGCGCGGAAGAUUUCUGUAACGACGGCAUUAUGGGAUUGCUCAAGGGAGUCAUCGAGGACGCUGAAAAUGGCGCUGAGAAAAACAGGAGUUAUUUGUGGAUAAUGACUGUUUUAGUUUUGCUGCGUCUUUCCGUAUGAACAUUUUUGGAGAUAAUUUUACGCUUAUCUAUUUCGCGAAGGAUGUUUGUUGUAAAUAUAUUUUUAAUUUUAAUAUAUUUAUUGUAACCGUGUCUGAAAUUUGUAACUAAUAUAAACAUUUACCCCAUUCAGCGUUAUUCAUAUCGAUACUUAGUUUACAUGGUGCUGGCGACAUGUUUCAUCAUUUUUAUUCAUUAGGACAAUGGUUUAUAUACUUGUCCAUCAGUUUCGAACGCUAAAAUUGCGGCUUACAAUCGAUACUUUAAUUUUAUAAAAUUUGACUCCUUGAAAGCUUAUAACACGAAAUCUAAGUCUAAUCUAAUCUAUCCUCAGUGAACAUUCGCCGUCUGUGUUAUCUUCUAUAAUCCAUGAAGCUAUAUCUUUCCGCACACUUAAUUUGACUUUAUCAAUCCAGGAUAUAAUGAAUUUGUGGCUAGUUGCUACGAACAUAAUUAGAAUUCACAUGAAGCAGCAGUUAAUUAGCCUCUUAAUCGCACGUAUCACACAAACACUUACAGAGGAUCAUUUGUCAUCACGACCUCGUGUUUACGGAGCGAGGCAUUUUUACACAGAUAUCAAUAUGUACCCUUUACCUAAGUUUACUUUCAUCUGGACUUGCUUUUUUGUCCUCCAUGUGUAAUAAAACAACAUUGUGUGGGCAUUGCAUUGUGUCAUCUUUUAUUGUAUCGAUUAAAACCGUGCUGUAUUGAAUGCGGUGGAAAACAUUGAAUUUUCAAGCCUAAAAUUAUACAUGUAAUAUGGGCAAGUGACUAAACCGGUCCUGAUUAUAACGUCGUGACGGCUGCUAGCUUCUCUGUCUAAGCCGUACAUUAUUUCAUUUGAGGAAAAGAUAACUCAAGGGUUUAACCUACAUAUUGUUAAACAAGAACAUAUAGUUUACUAUUUGUGAA